rnacentral:rRNA from 1 species
GACGAACGCUGGCGGCGUGCUUAACACAUGCAAGUCGAACGGCAAGGCCCUGCUUUUGUGGGGUGAUCGAGGGGCGAAGGGGUGCGUAACACGUGAGUAACCUGCCCUUGACUUUGGGAUAACUUCAGGAAACUGGGGCUAAUACCGGAUAGCAGAUCCUGCUGCAUGGUGGGGGUUGGAAAUUUUCGGCGGUCGGGGAUGGACUGGCGGCUUAUCAGCUUGUUGGUGGGGGAGUGGCUUACCAAGCCUGUGACUGGUAGCCGGCCUGUGAGGGUGACCGGCCACAUUGGGACUGAGAUACGGCCCAGACGCGAAUGGGAGGCAGUAGUGGGGAAUAUUGCACAACGGGCGGGAGCCGGAUGAAGCAACGCCGGGUGCGGGAAGACGGCCUUCGGGUUGUAAACCGCUUUCGGCUGUGACGCAGCGGUAGUGACGGUAAUGGGUAAAGAAGCACCGGCUAACUACGUG